rnacentral:rRNA from 1 species
UUUCCCGGUUGAUCCUGCCGGACCCGACUGCUAUUGGGUGAGGAUAAGCCAUGCGAGUUGAAUGGGAUACCUAAAGUUCCCAUAGCAAACUGCUCAGUAACACAUGAUCAACUUGCCCUAUAGAGAAAACUAACCUCGGGAAACUGAGGAUAAUGUUUCAUAGCUGAAUUGGCUUGGAAAAGUUUUUCAGUAAAAGGGGUAAAAAAAAUGGUUUUUAUCUGCUAUAGGAUAGGAUCGUGGUCGAUUAUGGUUGUUGGUGAGGUAAUGGCUCACCAAGCCGAUAAUCGAUAGGGGCCGUGAGAGCGGGUGCCCCGAGAUGGGUACUGAGACAACGACCCAGGCCUUACGAGGCGCAGCAGGCGCGAAACCUCCGCAAUACACGAAAGUGUGACGGGGUUACCCAAAGUGUUCAAUUUGAACUGUGGUAGGUGAGUAAUGUUCCCUACUAGAAAGGAGAGGGCAAGGCUGGUGCCAGCCGCCGCGGUAAAACCAGCUCUUCAAGUGGUCGGGAUAAUUAUUGGGCUUAAAGUGUCCGUAGCCGGUUUAGUAAGUUCCUGGUAAAAUCGGGUAGCUUAACUAUCUAUAUGCUAGGAAUACUGCUAUACUAGAGGGCGGGAGAGGUCUGAGGUACUACAGGGGUAGGGGUGAAAUCUUAUAAUCCUUGUAGGACCACCAGUGGCGAAGGCGUCAGACUGGAACGCGCCUGACGGUGAGGGACGAAAGCCAGGGGAGCGAACCGGAUUAGAUACCCGGGUAGUCCUGGCCGUAAACGAUGCAUACUAGGUGAUGGCACGGCCAUGAGCCGUGUCAGUGCCGUAGGGAAACCGUUAAGUGUGCCGCCUGGGAAGUACGGUCGCAAGGCUAAAACUUAAAGGAAUUGGCGGGGGAGCACCACAAGGGGUGAAGCCUGCGGUUCAAUUGGAUUCAACGCCGG